GACGGGGGGGGCAAGUGUUCUUCGGAAUGACUGGGCGUAAAGGGCCCGUAGGCGGUGAAUCGGGUUGAAAGUGAAAGUCGCCAAAAAGUGGCGGAAUGCUCUCGAAACCAAUUCACUUGAGUGAGACAGAGGAGAGUGGAAUUUCGUGUGUAGGGGUGAAAUCCGUAAAUAUACGAAGGAACGCCAAAAGCGAAGGCAGCUCUCUGGGUCCCUACCGACGCUGGGGUGCGAAAGCAUGGGGAGCGAACAGG
rnacentral:rRNA from 1 species